AUUCCAGCUCCAAUAGCGUAUAUUAAAGUUGCUGCAGUUAAAAAGCUCGUAGUUGGAUUUGUGGCGCGGCCGUCCGGCACGGAUCCUUCAUUGGGCCCGUUUGUCCGGUUUUUCGGCCGCCCCAUUCUCGGGUAGUGUGUCGCUGGCAUUAGGUUGUCGGCUUCUUCACGCCCGUCGUUUACUGUGAAAAAAUUAGAGUGUUCAAGGCAGGCUUAGGCCGUUGGAUACAUUAGCAUGGAAUAAUGAGAUAGGGCCACGACGGUCUAUUUUGUUGGUUUGCACGUUGUGGUAAUGAUUAACAGGAACGGUUGGGGGUAUUCGUAUUCAAUUGUCAGAGGUGAAAUUCUUGGAUUUAUGGAAGACGAACUACUGCGAAAGCAUUUACCAAGGAUGUUUUCAUUA
rnacentral:rRNA from 1 species